AUGUCUACUUGGAGGUUGUGGCCUUGAGCCGUGGCUUUCGGAGCUAACGCGUUAAGUAGACCGCCUGGGGAGUACGGUCGCAAGAUUAAAACUCAAAUGAAUUGACGGGGGCCCGCACAAGCGGUGGAGCAUGUGGUUUAAUUCGAUGCAACGCGAAGAACCUUACCUACUCUUGACAUCCAGAGAACUUUCCAGAGAUGGAUUGGUGCCUUCGGGAACUCUGAGACAGGUGCUGCAUGGCUGUCGUCAGCUCGUGUUGUGAAAUGUUGGGUUAAGUCCCGCAACGAGCGCAACCCUUAUCCUUGUUUGCCAGCACGUAAUGGUGGGAACUCCAGGGAGACUGCCGGUGAUAAACCGGAGGAAGGUGGGGACGACGUCAAGUCAUCAUGGCCCUUACGAGUAGGGCUACACACGUGCUACAAUGGCGUAUACAGAGGGCUGCCAACUAGCGAUAGUGAGCGAAUCCCAGAAAGUACGUCGUAGUCCGGAUUGGAGUCUGCAACUCGACUCCAUGAAGUCGGAAUCGCUAGUAAUCGUGAAUCAGAAUGUCACGGUGAAUACGUUCCCGGGCCUUGUACACACCGCCCGUCACACCAUGGGAGUGGGCUGCACCAGAAGUAGAUAGCUUAACCUUCGGGAGGGCGUUUACCACGGUGUGGUUCAUGACUGGGGUGAAGUCGUAACAAGGUAACCA
rnacentral:rRNA from 1 species